ensembl:lincRNA
AUGAGAACCAUGACAGAUGUAGCUGUUCCAAAGGAGAAGCUGCCUUGUCCAGGAGUGGAGGGAGAGACUCUCAAGACAGACUCUGCCACAGUCUGCUGGGGAGGACACAGCCAGAGCCUCUCUCUUCUCCAGGACAACGAGCCCGUCUGCCACAGACAGAGUCCUGCCAAGAAGUACAGGAGGGACGUGGAGCCUGGCCUUGGGCACAAGGGCAGAGCCUCAGAGCACGUGGAUGAGGAGGGGCCUAAAGCGCCUCCACCAGGGGAGCAAGGGGAGGCCCAAGGCCUGCCCUGUGGCCCCCAGUGUAGCCCCGAAGAGGAACUCCCUGCCAUGGGAAUGAGGAGCUCGGCAGCUGAAGACCAAGCCCUGUCCCACCCUGCGCAGGGCCCAGCACAGCCCGGAAAGACACGCCUCAGGAGCAAAGAUGGAGGAGCAGAGGCUGCCAGAGAGGGAGUCCGGCUCCUCGGAGAAAGAGAGGUGGAAGCCAUGGCCACCAGAGAAAGAGGAGUGGAGAUUGCCAAAGAAGGGGGCCAGCUCCUCAGAGACAGGGGAUUGGAGGCUGUGGCCUCCAGAGAAGCAGGAGGGGAGGCCGUGGCUGCCAGAGAAGGGGGCUGGCUCUUCAGAGACAGAGGAGUGGAGGCUGGGACUGACAGAGAAAGAAAAGGGGAGGCCGUGGCCACCAAAGGAGGAGGAGAGACCAUGGCAGCCAGAGAAGGAGCAGAGGCCGUGGCAGCCAGAGAAGGAGGAGCAGAGGUCAUGGCAGCCAGAGAAGGAGGAGUAGAGGCUAUGGCCACCAAAGGAGGAGGAGAGACCAUGGCAGCCAGAGAAGGAGGAGGAGAGACCAUGGUAGCCAGAGAAGGAGGAGGAGAGACCAUGGCAGCCAGAGAAGGAGGAGCAGAGGCCAUGGCCACCAGAGAAGGAGGAGCAGAGGCUGUGGCCACCAGAGAAGGAAGAGGGGAGGCCGUGGCAGCCAGAGAAGGAGGAGGAGAGACCAUGGCAGCCAGAGAAGGAGGAGCAGAGGCCAUGGCCACCAGAGAAGGAGGAGCAGAGGCUGUGGCCACCAGAGAAGGAAGAGGGGAGGCCGUGGCAGCCAGAGAAGGAGGAGCGGAGGCCAUGGCAGCCAGAGAAGGAGGAGCAGAGGCCAUGGCCACCAGAGAAGGAGGAGCAGAGGCUGUGGCCACCAGAGAAGGAAGAGGGGAGGCCGUGGCAGCCAGAGAAGGAGGAGCAGAGGCCGUGGCCACCAGAGAAAGAGGAGGAGAGGUCAUGGCCACCAAAGAAGGAAGAGAGGAGGCCGUGGCAGCCAGAGAAGGAGGAGCUGAGACCAUGGCCACCAGAGAAGGAGCAGCAGAGACCAUGGCAGCCAGAGAAGGAGGAGCGGAGGCUGUGGCAGCCAGAGAAGGAGGAGCGGAGGCUGUGGCAGCCAGAGAAGGAGGAGCAGAGACCAUGACAGUCAGAGAAAGAGGAGCAGAGGCCAUGGCCACGAGAGGAGGAGGAGCAGAGGCCGUGGCCACCAGAGAAAGAGGAGGAGAGGCCGUGGCCACCAGAGAAGGAAGAGGGGAGGCCGUGGCAGCCAGAGAAGGAGGAGCGGAGGCCAUGGCAGCCAGAGAAGGAGGAGCAGAGGCCAUGGCAGCCAGAGAAGGAGGAGCGGAGGCCAUGGCCGCCAGAGAAGAAGGAAGAGAGACCAUGGCAGCCAGAGAAGGAGGACCGGAGGCCGUGGCAGCCAAAGAAGGAGGAGCAGAGACCAUGGCCACCAGAGAAGGAGGAGCGGAGGCCGUGGCAGCCAGAGAAGGAGGAGUGGAGGCGGUGGCAGUCAAAGAAGGAGGAGCAGAGACCAUGACAGUCAGAGAAAGAGGAGCAGAGGCCAUGGCCGCCAGAGAAAGAGAAGGAGAGGCCAUUGCCACCAGAGAAUGCGGCUGGAUCCUCAGAGACAGAGGAGUGGAGGCCAUGACUACCAGAGAAAAGGAAGGGGAUGCCAUGGCCUCCAGAGAAGGAGGAGCGGAGGCCGUGGCCACCAGAGAAGGAGGAGCAGAGGCCAUGGCUGCCAGAGAAGAGGAGUGGAGGCCAUGGCCACCAGAGAAGGAGAAGAGGAGGCUGUGGCCACCAGAGAAGGAGGAGCAGAGGCCAUCGCCACCAGAGAAGGCUGCCCCUCAGAGAUGGAGGAAGGGAGGUGCCAGGCUUCAAGAGUCACAGGAGCUCAGCCUGGCCUUCGCCCGCGUCAUCCUCCAUUGUCUGCGGCCACCGCCACCCUCCGCCGACAGCGUGGGCACCUCACCGAGGAGGCGGAGGACGUUCACCGACUGGCCCUUUACAGAAGAGGCUGCUGGCCGCCGACGCAGACCCCUGGCCUCAUGGCCCGGCAAGCACGAGGGCGGUUUUGUUUCUGGUGAGCACCCGCCCCACGGGUGUCUGGCGAAAAGAUUCCAUGGCGCAUCCUGCAGCAAAGGAUCCAGCUGCACAGCUCCAGCCCUGCUGUGGACUUUAUACCCAGAAAGUUUCUGAAAAAGCAGAUUUUGGACCAGAUCUGUGUUCUGUGGCCUGACUUUGUCUGCCAUUGGCUGAAGGGGAGAAAUGAAGAUUGAGGUGCCACCAGGGAGGGGCAAAGUUUUUGAGAAGGAGCUUUAGGAGGUCAGCUUCUGGGAGCAUCUGCAGACACGGGAGCCCAGAACACGGAGCAGGUCCUGCAGGCUCAGCUUCCAGGGCUGAGGACCCAGGGCUACAACACCCUCCCCCUAGGGACUAUUGUCAGUGGACAAGCAGGCUCCCGUGCAGUGUCUAAGCCCACACAGAGCUGUCCACCAUGGCUUAACCAGAAUCCAAGAUGGACGGAGAGGUGGUGGAGGGCUGAGGAGUCCGCAAUGGGAGGACCGACGGAGAGGCGGUGCAGGGCUGAGGAGUCCGCAAUGGGAGGAGGGAUGGAGAGGCAGUGGAGGGCUGAAGAGUCUGCAAUGGGAGGAGGGAUGGAGAGGUAGUGCAGGGCUGAGGAGUCCGCAAUGGGAGGAGGGAUGGAGAGGCAGUGGAGGCUAAAGAGUCUGCAAUGGGAGGAGGGGCUUUGUCCCGGUGAGGAUCCUGCCCAGACAGGCUUUCUGCAGCACAGCUGGGAAUCUGCAGAGAAGGAGGAAGGAAGGAAGGGGUCCCCAGCCCCCCAACCUUCCUCACAUGACCUGCUCCUGAGGGUGGAGGAGAUAGACUUCACCAUCCUCCUUGGUCACCUGCACUGGAGGCAGCUAGGACAGGAGAGUUCACAUCCAGAUGGGUUCAGACCCCACCACACAGGGACCCGCACGCUCACACCACACACACACGGAGGGACACACACAGACGGAGAUAUGGGGACCCGCAUGCUCACUCCACACAUGUGGAGGGACACACACAGAGACACGGGGACACGCAUGCUUACACCACACACACGCUGAGGGACACACACAGAUGGAGACACGGGGACACGCACACUCACGCUACACACACGCGGAGGGACACACACAGACGGAGACAUGGGGACACACGCUCAUGCCACACACACGCGGAGGGACACACAGAGACACAGGGACACGCACGCUCACGCCACACACAUGCAGAGGGACACACACAGACGGAGACACGGGGACAUGCACGCUCACACCACACACACAGAGGGACACAUAUGGACAGAGACAUGUGGAUAUGCAUGCUCAUGCCACACACACGUGGAGGGACACAUGCAGAGAGAUGGAGACACAAGGACAGAGAUGUGGAGGGACACACACAGAGAGACGGAGACACGGGGACCCUCACGUUCACACCACACACAUGCAGAGGGACACACACAGAUGGAGACAUGGGUUCACGCACGCUCACACCACACACAUGUGGAGGGAUGCACACGGAGACUCGGGGACACACACGCUCAUGCCACACACACGCAAAGGGACACAGGCAGAUAGAUGGAGACAUGGACAUGCACUCACGCCACACACAUGUGGAGGGACACACAUGGAUAAACGGGGACACAGGGACACGCAUGCUCACACCACAGACACGCGGAGGGACACAUGCAGACGGAGACACAGGGACACGUGCUCACACCACACAUGCAUGGAGGGACACAGGACACCAGGACACACAGGAAUGCGCACACACAGAAUCUGCAGAUCCUCACCACACAGGGACAUGCACACUCACGUGUCACACAUGCAAAGGUGCACAGGGACACACACGCCCUCCAAUACGUGUCACACACACAAAGGUGCACAGGGACACAUGCACCCUCUGACAUGUGUCACACACACAAAGGUGCACAGGGACAUGCACACCCUCCGACACGUGUCACACACUCAAAGGUGCACAGGGACACACGCACCCUCUGACAUGUGUCACACACUCAAAGCUGCACAGGGACACACGCACCCUCCGAGAGCCCUAGCAGCUUGAGCAGGUGCAGCCCCUUCUCAGCCAAACUCUUAGGGAGCCAAAGCUGCCUGGGGAAGGCAGGAAAAGUGGAAA